GACGAACGCUGGCGGCGUGCCUAAUACAUGCAAGUUGAGCGCUGAAGGUUGGUACUUGUACCAACUGGAUGAGCAGCGAACGGGUGAGUAACGCGUGGGGAAUCUGCCUUUGAGCGGGGGACAACAUUUGGAAACGAAUGCUAAUACCGCAUAAAAACUUUAAACACAAGUUUUAAGUUUGAAAGAUGCAAAUGCAUCACUCAAAGAUGAUCCCGCGUUGUAUUAGCUAGUUGGUGAGGUAAAGGCCACCCAAGGGGAUGAUACAUAGCCGACCUGAGAGGGUGAUCGGCCACAUUGGGACUGAGACACGGCCCAAACUCCUACGGGAGGCAGCAGUAGGGAAUCUUCGGCAAUGGACGAAAGUCUGACCGAGCAACGCCGCGGGAGUGAAGAAGGGUUUCGGAUCGUAAAACUCUGUUGGUAGAGAAGAACGUUGGUGAGAGUGGAAAGCUCAUCAAGUGACGGUAACUACCCAGAAAGGGACGGCUAACUACGUG
rnacentral:rRNA from 1 species